GUCAGAAAUGCGAAAUACAGUUGAUGAGUUAAAGAAAAGCCAAGUUCAGAAUCCGACAACAACUGAAGCAACACCAACUACACCCCUUGUUUCUCCCUCGGUAAAAAGUCAUCCAUAGAGUGACAUUACCAAGUGCAAGUUGCUAGAUUGGAUGGGGAUAGGAGACGUAGUUGCGGAGGGGCGUUGGUCUUUAAGUGAUCCACAUUCUAGUGCUCAUUGUGUUCCAAUUGGACCUAAUGCAAUGAGAGUUUGGGUGGAUGUAGCAAAGAAACCUAAAGAGUUUCUGUAGAGGGCUCCAAGUGAUAUGACCUAUAUCUUAGAUGCUGUGGGAAGUACCAUCGCACGGCCUGUUGACUUUGUUAUUCUGGACUCUUCUUCCCUAGGGUAUUGUACUUUUACUCUCCUCCAUAUCGAAGUAUUAUCUCGGAUGAUAAAUGUAUGUCUAAUUGCCCGUGUUAAUGAUCUCCAUGUUGGAGCGUAGAUUGCUAUACCAGAAUUUAUGCAUACCUAGUUUUAAUGUUGUCCAUUUUUGGCUAGGAAACAUCAGUUAACUGUUUGGGAGGACAUUAGUGGGCAUAACAUGACAAGAAUGCAGAAACUUGACGAUAAGGUCAUUUUUAGGAGAAAACAGUGAAUAGCUUUGAAAGGAACAUUGAGUAUUAAGGUGUUUGAUCAAAGUAAUGCAUGCUUUUUAUAAGAAAAUCAUGAUCUUUUUCUUAUGCCACUAUUGAAAGCCACCUUUUUUGUCCUUUAAUAUCCAUUUUAUCUUGGGAAUUGAACUUUGAUUCAAAUGCAAGAUAAUGUUUUUUUGGUACAACUUCUUAUACAAUCAAACCAAACCAGAUUGAUAUGUUUUAUUUUCCUUCUUUCCUUUGCUAAAUGAUGAAUGAAGAUUUACAAGUUGUAGUAGGUGUACUUUUGUAAGUGUACAUUAACUGAAGGCGGAGGCCUUCCUCGUCAUGGAAGGCUCUUUGGACAUAUUAACUAUCUAGUACAAUCCUUCCCUUAUUGUUUGUUUGAGCAUUUAGGAUCAAUCUUCAUAUUAAUCGUGUGGGUCUUCAGGGACAAUUUGUAGUUGUAACUCCUUUCUGCCUUUUCCUCCAUUUCUUCACUUGUCCUGGGAUUUAACAGCUUCUAAUUUUGUCCUCACCCUCUUUUACACAAAGACACGGACAGUGACACACAUAGGCUCCCAAAUUGCAAGCAUAUAAGAUUUGCGGACGUACCACCCUUCCUGGCCAUGGAAGACUUUCUGGGGGGACUAAUUUUCUAGAACAAGCCUUCCCUUUGUAUUUUUUGAACUGCUCUGGAUCCAUCUUCAUAAGAAAUCAUGUUUAUGGGUUGAUAAAGAAGUUCUGUUGUGACUUUUUGCUGAAGAUAUAGGUAUGAUCUUGCUAGUGUGUUGGUUCUCAUAAUCGCUUGGUUGGUUGAAGCCUUUUUGUUGAUAUUUACGAGAUGGAUAGAUUUUGGAAGGACUAUUUUGGUUGAAGCCUUUUUGUUAAGAUUUUGGUGCCAAGGUUUGAACUCCACUUUUGGGAUACAUAGAUGUUUCGGAAGGCCUUUUUGUUGAUUUUUGUUGACAAGGCUUGUACUCCACUUUUGGGAUAGAUAGAAAUGUUGGAAGUACAUUUAGUAUAUUGAAUUUCUUUAAUGUAAUGGUAAUCGCUUUGAUGUUUGGAGACAUUUUGUUGGUUUUGUAUGUAAUAUUGUGAAAUAUAUUGCCAAGGAAGUCAUUGGAGCCGCCAUCUUUUUUUUAAGCAUUGUAUGAACUUGCUAUGUGGAAUGCUAUUUAGGUUGGAUUGUAAGA